rnacentral:rRNA from 1 species
GUAGGUGGCAAGCGUUGUCCGGAAUUAUUGGGCGUAAAGCGCGCGCAGGCGGUUCUUUAAGUCUGAUGUGAAAGCCCACGGCUCAACCGUGGAGGGUCAUUGGAAACUGGAAAACUUGAGUACAGAAGAGGAAAGCGGAAUUCCACGUGUAGCGGUGAAAUGCGUAGAGAUGUGGAGGAACACCAGUGGCGAAGGCGGCUUUCUGGUCUGUAACUGACGCUGAGGCGCGAAAGCGUGGGGAGCAAACAGGGAUUAGAUACCCUGGUAGUCCACGCCGUAAACGAUGAGUGCUAAGUGUUAGGGGGUUUCCGCCCCCUUAGUGCUGCAGCUAACGCAUUAAGCACUCCGCCUGGGGAGUACGGCCGCAAGGCUG